rnacentral:sRNA from 1 species
AAAAAUAAAUAGAGUGUAUAUAAAAGGGAAAUAUAUUUGACCUUUACCUGCGUUAAUUUGAUUUGUAACUAUACUCAAUAUAGUAGCAUACAAAGAUUCUUGACUCACAGAUCAUUUAUUACUUAUUAAUUUAUUAAAAUUUGUGCUUAAAAAGCCUAAACCUAAGAUAAAUAUUAAUCCAAUAGUUAGGAAAAAUCCUAUACUUGUAAUAGAUAGGCUUAUGUUAUUAAUAUCUAAACUUAGUAAGUUACGUAUUUCAAACUGCUCUAAAGGAGUUAAUACUUGUGUAUGUACAGAUAAAUUAAAAUUAGACAACUUAAUUAAAAAGAAAAUUGCGUAUUUUUUAUUAAAAAGUGGUGAAAAAAAAAAUAAUUUUUAGUUGGUAUAACCUAGUCUUUUUUUUUUUUUUAUUUUUUUUUUAAUUUUUAUUUUUUAUAAAAAAAAAUAACGCACCAUUCUUGCUUUUUUUUUAAAUAGUUUUUUGGAUAGUUUUUUGGAUAGUUUUUUGGAUAUUUUUUUUUUUUUUGCGGCGUAAUUAAUAACUACAAUGCAUUAAAUAUUGCCCAUGAUAAGAUUUGAACUUAUAACAAAAAUAGCUUCAAUAUUUCACUCUACCAAUUGAGUUACAUGAGCGGUGGAGAUACCAGGACUCGAACCUAGACACUCAAUAUGCAAAAUUGAAGUACUACCAAUUAUACCAUAUCCCCUUAAUAUUAUUAGAUUAUAGUCUAAUAUACCUAUAUAAAUAUCCGAAAAAGGACUCGAACCUUCAUGGCUAUUAGCCUACAAAAUUUAAGCUUGUUAUGUCUACCAAUUCCAUCACCCGGACUAAGGCUAAAGUGACUUGAACACUUAUAUAUACUGUUAUGAGCAGUAUUCUUUACCAAUUAAGAUAUAGCCUCAAAGAACUCUUUGUAUAAGUAAUAUUUUUUCCAAAAAAACCUAAUACAACUAUUAGUGUGUAACGUGUAACGUGUAACGUGUGCUUGUUUUUUAUUUUUAUUUUUAUUUUUUUUUUUAAAAAAAAAUAAAUUUU